UACAGAGGGGGCAAGCGUUGUUCGGAAUUACUGGGCGUAAAGGGCGCGUAGGCGGCCUUCUAAGUCGAACGUGAAAUCCCCGGGCUCAACCCCGGAACUGCCCUUGAAACUGCAGUGCUAGAAUCUUGGAGAGGCGAGUGGAAUUCCGAGUGUAGAGGUGAAAUUCGUAGAUAUUCGGAAGAACACCAGUGGCGAAGGCGACUCGCUGGACAAGUAUUGACGCUGAGGUGCGAAAGCCAGGGGAGCAAACGGG
rnacentral:rRNA from 1 species